UACACUCCUGCGGGAGGCAGCAGUGGGGAAUAUUGGACAAUGGGCGCAAGCCUGAUCCAGCCAUGCCGCGUGAGUGAUGAAGGCCCUAGGGUUGUAAAGCUCUUUCACCGGUGAAGAUAAUGACGGUAACAGGAGAAGAAGCCCCGGCUAACUUCGUGCCAGCAGCCGCGGUAAUACGAAGGGGGCUAGCGUUGUUCGGAUUUACUGGGCGUAAAGCGCACGUAGGCGGACUAUUAAGUCAGGGGUGAAAUCCCGGGGCUCAACCCCGGAACUGCCUUUGAUACUGGUAGUCUUGAGUUCGGGAGAGGUGAGUGGAAUUCCGAGUGUAGAGGUGAAAUUCGUAGAUAUUCGGAGGAACACCAGUGGCGAAGGCGGCUCACUGGCUCGAUACUGACGCUGAGGUGCGAAAGCGUGGGGAGCAAACAGGAUUAGAAACCCUAGUAGUCCCAUGA
rnacentral:rRNA from 1 species